GCAAACUUGGUCAUUUAGAGGAAGUAAAAGUCGUAACAAGGUUUCCGUAGGUGAACCUGCGGAAGGAUCAUUAUCGAGUUUGAAAGUAAGAGGAAGAGUGCGGUUUGAUGCUGGCGUGAAAGCGCACUGUGCACGGCCGCUUCUCUUUUUCUUACGCUCAAUCCACUCAACCCCAUGUGCACCCACGAGGAGCUAGUAGUCGGCGUUGUUAGUCUGUUCGCGUGAAGUAGUCUUGAUUCAUUAAGGCGAAAGCUUACGGGCGUUUAGUCGACGAAUGCUUCGUUUUAUUAUCAACCAUUUGGUGUUUCUGUAUUAUGGAAAUAUGAGAUAAUUAAAAAAGUACAACUUUCAACAACGGAUCUCUUGGCUCUCGCAUCGAUGAAGAACGCAGC
rnacentral:misc_RNA from 1 species